rnacentral:rRNA from 2 species
GUGAAGGCUGAGCUGUGAUGGGGAAGCUCCUUAUGGAGCGAAGUCUUUGAUUCCCCGCUGCCAAGAAAAGCUUCUAGCGAGAUAAAAGGUGCCUGUACCGCAAACCGACACAGGUAGGCGAGGAGAGAAUCCUAAGGUGUGCGAGAGAACUCUGGUUAAGGAACUCGGCAAAAUGACCCCGUAACUUCGGGAGAAGGGGUGCUUUCUUAACGGAAAGCCGCAGUGAAUAGGCCCAAGCGACUGUUUAGCAAAAACACAGGUCUCUGCGAAGCCGUAAGGCGAAGUAUAGGGGCUGACACCUGCCCGGUGCUGGAAGGUUAAGGAGAGGGGUUAGCGUAAGCGAAGCUCUGAACUGAAGCCCCAGUAAACGGCGGCCGUAACUAUAACGGUCCUAAGGUAGCGAAAUUCCUUGUCGGGUAAGUUCCGACCCGCACGAAAGGUGUAACGAUUUGGGCACUGUCUCAACCAGAGACUCGGUGAAAUUAUAGUACCUGUGAAGAUGCAGGUUACCCGCGACAGGACGGAAAGACCCCGUGGAGCUUUACUGUAGCCUGAUAUUGAAUUUUGGUACAGUUUGUACAGGAUAGGCGGGAGCCAUUGAAACCGGAGCGCUAGCUUCGGUGGAGGCGCUGGUGGGAUACCGCCCUGACUGUAUUGAAAUUCUAACCUACGGGUCUUAUCGACCCGGGAGACAGUGUCAGGUGGGCAGUUUGACUGGGGCGGUCGCCUCCUAAAGUGUAACGGAGGCGCCCAAAGGUUCCCUCAGAAUGGUUGGAAAUCAUUCGUAGAGUGCAAAGGCAUAAGGGAGCUUGACUGCGAGACCUACAAGUCGAGCAGGGACGAAAGUCGGGCUUAGUGAUCCGGUGGUUCCGCAUGGAAGGGCCAUCGCUCAACGGAUAAAAGCUACCCCGGGGAUAACAGGCUUAUCUCCCCCAAGAGUCCACAUCGACGGGGAGGUUUGGCACCUCGAUGUCGGCUCAUCGCAUCCUGGGGCUGUAGUCGGUCCCAAGGGUUGGGCUGUUCGCCCAUUAAAGCGGUACGCGAGCUGGGUUCAGAACGUCGUGAGACAGUUCGGUCCCUAUCCGUCGUGGGCGUAGGAAAUUUGAGAGGAGCUGUCCUUAGUACGAGAGGACCGGGAUGGACGCACCGCUGGUGUACCAGUUGUUCUGCCAAGGGCAUAGCUGGGUAGCUAUGUGCGGAAGGGAUAAGUGCUGAAAGCAUCUAAGCAUGAAGCCCCCCUCAAGAUGAGAUUUCCCAUAGCGUAAGCUAGUAAGAUCCCUGAAAGAUGAUCAGGUUGAUAGGUUCGAGGUGGAAGCAUGGUGACAUGUGGAGCUGACGAAUACUAAUAGAUCGAGGACUUAACCAU